AGUGAACGCUGGCGGCAGGCCUAACACAUGCAAGUCGAGCGGCAGCGCGUCCGACCACCCUCGGGUGGUCGGAUGGCGGCGAGCGGCGGACGGGUGAGGAAUGCAUCGGAAUCUGCCUCGUUGUGGGGGAUAACGUAGGGAAACUUACGCUAAUACCGCAUACGACCUACGGGUGAAAGUGGGGGGACCUUCGGGCCUCACGCGAUGAGAUGAGCCGAUGCCGGAUUAGCUAGUUGGCGGGGUAAAGGCCCACCAAGGCGACGAUCCGUAGCUGGUCUGAGAGGAUGAUCAGCCACACUGGAACUGAGACACGGUCCAGACUCCUACGGGAGGCAGCAGUGGGGAAUAUUGGACAAUGGGGGCAACCCUGAUCCAGCCAUGCCGCGUGUGUGAAGAAGGCCUCGGUUG
rnacentral:rRNA from 1 species